rnacentral:snRNA from 13 species
UAACUUACUUGGCGCCAGGACCAGGGUGACCACGAAUGACUUGGUCUCAGAUUGAGACUCGCUCUUGCGCCCUGGCGGGUUGAAGGCUGCGGCGAUCCCUAAUCGGGAUCGCUCUGACGCACAGUUUUCGACAGUGGGACGUCCUCGGACGAUCUUUU